CCAUCCCCAAAUGAAAAAACUUUUUGAAUUUUUUUUUUAUGUUAGAUCUUUUUUUUUUGAUAGAUUGAGGAUGGUAAUGACGGGUCCGGAUUCAAGAUAGAUAGAAGAAGAAGUGUUUAUGAUUUAGAAAUGGAAGAUGAGAAAGAUGAAUGAUUUAGAAGAUACCAAACGAGUGGCUUUGAUACACUUGAAGGACCCUAAGAUCGGCUCACUCGAAUGGAUCAGAUUUGGAUAUGAACUCCAGAUGGAGAACUGGAUGGAUAGAAGGGUCGC
rnacentral:lncRNA from 1 species